rnacentral:lncRNA from 1 species
CUUUCAGACCAAAACUCCACGCGAUACCAGGAGAUCUCCACCCUCAUGUAGCUACCAUGGGCACCUCAGCGCAGUGGGGGACUCAGCCCCAUGCUCCCUGGCUGGUUCUUCUCCGGAUCAAAGCCAUCCCGGAAGAAGGCUGUUACUCCGAUGAGGGUUGUUACCAAACACCUGCAUUCAGGAUGCCAGGGUGCACCGGGGGAAGGAGUGAGGAGCACAGGACAGCAGUGUUAGACCAGAUGACCUAGAAGCAGGUACCUGCCACACUGAGGAUGGUCAAGAGAGGGCAGAGAAACACUGUCCAGGCUCACUGGAUUGGACCUAGGAAGUCGCCAUUCGAAGGAAGGUGGCUGCCACUCCCUCUGACCACCUCGGGCUCAGAGACUCGAGGGGCUCCCUCCAGAGCCUUGGGACUGCUGCUGUCCACAUGGGAGCAGCUGUAGUGUGAUGGGGCAGUGAGGCCAAGGGAUGCUUCAGAGGUCGCACAACCAACAGGCAGUGUCCCUCCGAGCAGCUACUUGGAAACAGACCCUCCCCAGUGGCGGCCGUCAGAGGACACAUGUUGGAGCCCACCCUCCACACCGUCCAGUGUUGUCCAGGGCCUGCUCGGAACUGCCUUAGAACCAGGCUUGUUUCUUAGUCACACACAGUUUGUGGACACAGAGAGAAUGACAUCACUUGACCCCUAUCUGUCACCAGCCUUGAUUCUAAAUGCCUUCUACCAGAAGAGAAAUGCACCACUAAUGAGGAGAAGGCCCAUCGGCCCUGAAAAGGAACAGCACCAAAGACAGCUUUGCAGGGACGCUGAGGAGCACAGCGUUGUGCCUUGGCCCAGCUGUUUUCCGAAAUCCACGCUGUGACCUUGGCAGCCUCUCUCCUUUCCUGGAUGCACUGUCAAGUUUGGGCCGCCGCAGGUUACCAAGCGGAAUGGCCUGAGGCUGGCUGCAGGGCUCUGUGUUCAGUGUUCCAAGCUCAUCACUGCAGUCUGGGUCAAUGUCCUAUUUAUUAAGAGACUUCUCUGCCAACACGCGAAAGCGGUGCCACUUUCCACAGGCUGGGACGCAUAGCCCGAGAUCUCACACACCGUGC